CUUAUUUUGUGUCAAGGUAAAAAUAUAGGGGAAGAGUGUUCCGGAAUUUUCUGGUCCGUCAAUGACUUAGUCUACCUACUAUCCUUAGUACACAGCAUUGUAGCAGAAUCACCACAGGAUUGUCCAGGGUCCUGGAGUGGGUUCCUGGAGAGUCCGUUCAAGUUAGUUGCACCUAAGCUCCACCACAGACCUGCCUGAUGACUCUGGAUAAAUAACCUCAGGACACGUUAGUUUCUCCAACUCUAAAAGGGAUCACACACACAUCUGUUCUGUUGUGCAGAAGAUAAGUGACAACUCUCAGCCACAAUCUGAAUCGUAAAAGAUUUCCUCUAGUCCUGAGACAACGAAACGGAAACGUGAGAAUUCAUCUCUGGAGUGCCUGGGCUCUUAUGAUCAGCAAGUUCACCUCCUCCUACCAAAGAAAAAUGGGAAGACAUAGAACAUAUUCUUCUAAGUUGUAAAAAGCAGACUGCCAUUUCUACCUCUUCCUCUUCCUUUUCUCUCAAAGACCGCCCCUCACACUCCCACAUGUCAGUUUGCUCUGCCAGCCCAGGCUCUCUGGGGUCCUGAAAUGUCACCUGUCAUGAGUGGGGCACUGGAUGGGAAGAGAAAACACAGGAUGCACUAAACAAAGAAAACAGACCAGCAACACACCUUCGAGAAGGUCGGGAACCUGAAGAUAAAGGAGGAAGGUGGAGAAAUGGAAGGACCAAAUAUGCCCCCAAAGGAUUAAAAGAUUGUGCAUAUCAAA
rnacentral:lncRNA from 1 species